rnacentral:rRNA from 1 species
UAAGUGAAGAGUUUGAUCCUGGCUCAGAUUGAACGCUGGCGGCAUGCCUAACACAUGCAAGUCGAACGGCAGCACAGCCGUAGCAAUACGGUGGGUGGCGAGUGGCGGACGGGUGAGUAAAGCAUCGGGACCUACCCAGACGUGGGGGAUAACCUCGGGAAACCGGGACUAAUACCGCAUACGUCCUACGGGAGAAAGCGGGGGACCUUCGGGCCUCGCGCGGUUGGACGGACCGAUGUGCGAUUAGCUAGUUGGUAGGGUAAUGGCCUACCAAGGCGACGAUCGCUAGCUGGUCUGAGAGGAUGAUCAGCCACACUGGGACUG